rnacentral:rRNA from 1 species
CUAAGUUUGAUGGCGACCGGCGCACGGGGUGAGUAACACGUAUCCAACCUGCCGAUGACUCGGGGGAUAGCCUUUCGAAAGAAAGAUUAAUACCCGAUGGCAUAGUUCUUCCGCAUGGUAGAACUAUUAAAGAAUUUCGGUCAUCGAUGGGGAUGCGUUCCAUUAGGUUGUUGGCGGGGGUAACGGCCCACCAAGCCUUCGAUGGAUAGGGGUUCUGAGAGGAAGGUCCCCCACAUUGGAACUGAGACACGGUCCAAACUCCUACGGGAGGCAGCAUGG